GACGAACGCUGGCGGCGUGCUUAACACAUGCAAGUCGAACGCUGAAGCUUGGUGCUUGCACUGGGUGGAUGAGUGGCGAACGGGUGAGUAAUACGUGAGUAACCUGCCCUUGACUCUGGGAUAAGCCUGGGAAACUGGGUCUAAUACUGGAUACGACAUGCCACUGCAUGGUGGUGUGUGGAAAGGGUUUUACUGGUUUUGGAUGGGCUCACGGCCUAUCAGCUUAUUGGUGGGGUAAUGGCCUACCAAGGCGACGACGGGUAGCCGGCCUGAGAGGGUGACCGGCCACACUGGGACUGAGACACGGCCCAGACUCCUACGGGAGGCAGCAGUGGGGAAUAUUGCACAAUGGGCGGAAGCCUGAUGCAGCGACGCCGCGUGAGGGAUGACGGCCUUCGGGUUGUAAACCUCUUUCAGCACGGAAGAAGCGAGAGUGACGGUACGUGCAGAAGAAGCGCCGGCUAACUACGUG
rnacentral:rRNA from 1 species